AGCGAACGCUGGCGGCAGGCCUAACACAUGCAAGUCGAACGAAGUCUUCGGACUUAGUGGCGGACGGGUGAGUAACACGUGGGAACGUGCCCUUUGGUACGGAAUAACUCAGGGAAACUUGAGCUAAUACCGUAUGUGCCCUUCGGGGGAAAGAUUUAUCGCCAUUGGAGCGGCCCGCGUCUGAUUAGCUAGUUGGUGAGGUAAAGGCUCACCAAGGCGACGAUCAGUAGCUGGUCUGAGAGGAUGAUCAGCCACAUUGGGACUGAGACACGGCCCAAACUCCUACGUGAGGCAGCAGUGGGGAAUCUUGCGCAAUGGGCGAAAGCCUGACGCAGCCAUGCCGCGUGAAUGAUGAAGGUCUUAGGAUUGUAAAACUCUUUCACCGGGGACGAUAAUGACGGUACCCGGAGAAGAAGCCCCGGCUAACUUCGUGCCAGCCGCCGCAGUAA
rnacentral:rRNA from 1 species